UAUUUACUUGAUUACUUGAAAGGUGGAGCAAACUGCAAUAUGCAGUCUUAGCAAAAAAAAAAUAAAAUAUCUUUUUGCUUUUGCCUAAAUAAAUGAUCCACCCAAUUAACCCCAUAUUACAUUUACCCGUUUCCUUACCAUUCUAAUGGAAUUCGGCUGCUACAGCGUACAGUGAUAACGAACGAUACAAAAAAAUGAGCUUUGCAAUUUCAAAGCGAAGACUCCGUUAGGGUUCUUCUAUAUUCCUAACCAGGAAUACUACCAUGGAAGUUGUUGUGAGAUAUGUUGAGUAACACAAGCGAACUAAGCCUUCCAAUGGAUUUUGGGAUUCCUGUUUUUUCUUCAUCCACUUUCAUCAUCGCUGUAAAAUUUUUGAAAAGAUUAGAUGGCAAAGUUCCAGUGAACCCAUUGAAGGAAAGGUCAAAGAUUCGUAACUCCG